rnacentral:rRNA from 1 species
UAGCCGUAAACGAUACUCGCUAGGUGUCGGCCACGGUGCGACCGUUGUCGGUGCCGUAGGGAAGCCGUGAAGCGAGCCACCUGGGAAGUACGGCCGCAAGGCUGAAACUUAAAGGAAUUGGCGGGGGAGCACAACAACGGGUGGAGCUUGCGGUUUAAUUGGAUUCAACGCCGGAAAUCUUACCGGGACCGACAGCAACAUGAAGGCCAAGCUGAAGACUUUGCCGGAUUAGCUGAGAGGUGGUGCAUGGCGUAGUUCGUGU